rnacentral:rRNA from 1 species
UACGGGGGGGGGCAAGCGUUGUUCGGAAUUACUGGGCGUAAAGGGCGCGUAGGCGGUCAGCACAAGUCAAUUGUGAAAUCUCCGAGCUUAACUCGGAAAGGUCAACUGAAACUGUGCGACUAGAGUGGCGGAAGGGGGCAACUGGAAUUCUUGGUGUAGCGGUGAAAUGCGUAGAUAUCAAGAGGAACACCUGCGGCGAAGGCGGGUUGCUGGGCCGACACUGACGCUGAAGCGCGAAAGCCAGGGGAGCGAACGGG